GACGAACGCUGGCGGCGCGCUUAACACAUGCAAGUCGAGCGAGAACCAGUCCCUUCGGGACGUGGGACGAGCGGCGAACGGGUGAGUAACACGUGGGUAAUCUGCCCUCGAUUCUGGGGUAGGCCCGGGGAAACCCGGAUUAAUACCGGAUAGCCUCUCGAGCUUACGAGCUCGUGAGAAAAGGUAGCUUCGGCCUCCGAUCGAGGAUGAGCCCGCGGCGGAUUAGCUUGUUGGUGGGGUAA
rnacentral:rRNA from 1 species